rnacentral:rRNA from 1 species
AUCUGGGCGGCGGAAUUCAGGAUGGUCGGGCGGGCCUCGCGCUCGUCGGGCCGUCUGAUAUUUCCGUCGCCGUGUCAGACGUCGCGACCUGUUGGUCGUCGGUCCUUGCUCGGAGGAAGCGCGGUCGAGUUCGUUGCGGGUGCGGCACGUUUCGGCGCGUCGUGUCCGCGGCGAAGUCGCGUCUCUCUGGCCGACGACGGACAGUAGGCAACGGUGGCCGGCGUCGUGUCUCGCACUCGACGUCGGUGCCGGUCGGCGACGAUUUCUUCGGGCCUCUUUCCGACCCGUCUUGAAACACGGACCAAGGAGUCUAACAUGCGCGCGAGUCGCGGGGUUUCGAGCGUGCCACCGGUGCGCUCGUCAUCUCCGAAACCCGUACUGUUGAAGGCGUAAUGAAAGUGAACAGGGAAGAUGGCGUUCCGAGUCGACGUACCGUGAUCGAGUAUCGCGGCCGGACGUCCGCACUCCCGGGGCGUCUCAAUGGCUCGGCGUGGACGUCGGAUCGUGGUCUCUUCGGGGACGGCGGUCGAUCCGCGUCGGUCCGA